rnacentral:rRNA from 1 species
GACGAACGCUGGCGGCGUGCCUAAUACAUGCAAGUAGAACGCACAGUUUAUACCGUAGCUUGCUACACCAUAGACUGUGAGUUGCGAACGGGUGAGUAACGCGUAGGUAACCUGCCUGGUAGCGGGGGAUAACUAUUGGAAACGAUAGCUAAUACCGCAUAAUAUUGAUUAUUGCAUGAUAAUUGAUUGAAAGAUGCUAUUGCAUCACUACCAGAUGGCCCUGCGUUGUAUUAGCUAGUAGGUGAGGUAGCGGCUCACCUAGGCGACGAUACAUAGCCGACCUGGGAGGGUGGUCGGCCACACUGGGACUGAGACACGGCCCAGACGCCUACGGGAGGCAGCAGUAGGGAAUCUUCGGCAAUGGACGAAAGUCUGACCGGGCAACGCCGCGUGAGUGAAGAAGGGUUUCGGAUCGUAAAGCUCGGUUGUAAGAGAAGAACGGGUGUGAGAGUGGAAAGUUCACACUGUGACGGUAGCUGACCAGAAAGGGACGGCUAACUACGUG